UAUUUAACUAACAGAUUAUUUCUUAUAGAUAUUCUUAAUAUUUGUUGUAAAUUUGAAUCAAUAUAUUUGAGAAUGUCACACUUAUAUAUUUCAGCUUUCAAAACUAUUAUAAUUGCUCAUUUCAAGUUAACAUAGGUAUUUAACAUCAACAAAAAAAAUAGUAAAUUUCAUGCAUAACUUUAACUAUGAUUUACUGAAUAUUUUUGGUGAAACAUUAUUACAUUGUAUUAUUUGAGUAAAUGUAGGCAAAAAAAUUCAUUAAAUCAGAUGUAAAUUUAAAAAUCACAAAGCCAACGGUUUUUUAAUCAGCAGCAGAAGAAACAGCGCCUCUUGCAGGAAGAUAAACAACCUCAAAACUCCUCAAAAAUCCUGGUACAAGUGCUGGUGGUCCACCUGUCCGGGUUCAAGAGGUGUGGAUUCUGCAUGCUGUGAAUUUGAGAGACCUCUCAGAGUUUAUUUAGCUGAUUGUUUUUGUAACAUGUACAAUGUUUGCCAUUUUCAAUAAAACAACGUAUACAAAUU